rnacentral:misc_RNA from 1 species
UCUCCGUAGGUGUACCUGCGGAGGGAUCAUUACUGAGUGAGGGCUCACGCCCGACCUCCAACCCUUUGUGAACACAUCUUGUUGCUUCGGGGGCGACCCUGCCGGCACUCGGUCGCCGGGCGCCCCCGAAGGUCUCCAAACACUGCAUCUUUGCGUCGGAGUUUGAAACAAAUGAAACAAAACUUUCAACAACGGAUCUCUUGGUUCUGGCAUUGAUGAAGAACACAGC